rnacentral:rRNA from 1 species
AUUGAACGCUGGCGGCAGGCCUAACACAUGCAAGUCGAACGGUAACAGGAAGAAUCUUGCUUCUUUGCUGACGAGUGGCGGACGGGUGAGUAAUGUCUGGGAAACUGCCUGAUGGAGGGGGAUAACUACUGGAAACGGUAGCUAAUACCGCAUAACGUCGCAAGACCAAAGAGGGGGACCUUCGGGCCUCUUGCCAUCGGAUGUGCCCAGACGGGAUUAGCUAGUAGGUGGGGUAACGGCUCACCUAGGCGACGAUCCCUAGCUGGUCUGAGAGGAUGACCAGCCACACUGGAACUGAGACACGGUCCAGACUCCUACGGGAGGCAGCAGUGGGGAAUAUUGCACAAUGGGCGCAAGCCUGAUGCAGCCAUGCCGCGUGUAUGAAGAAGGCCUUCGGGUUGUAAAGUACUUUCAGCGGGGAGGAAGGGAGUAAAGUUAAUACCUUUACUCAUUGACGUUACCCGCAGAAGAAGCACCGGCUAACUCCGUG